GGGCCUGGGGGUGGAGAAGGAUGGCAGAUUUUAGCCCUUCUGGACCUCCGAGAGGAUUGCGUGGUUGAUGGUCUUUGCCAAACCCCCUUCCCUGGAGAGAAGUGCUGUUGGUGUUGAGAAGGAAGGAGCCAUGUGGCCUGGAAGAGGUGAGGACAGCUCCCCAGGGACCAGCCGCCCGGUUUCCUUCUGCUUGAGGAACUCGGCCACUGGAGUUGUGGCUCUUCCCAUCAGUGGCCGCUCCUGUUCCUCGAACUCCUUCAGAGCCGGUGCAGCUCUUGUCUGGGACACUCUGGAGGAAGGGGCAGGGUGAGAGCAAGGAGCAAGAGGGACAUUUCUUCGAAAGGAAAAGAAAAUGGAGACGCUGGGUCUGGGUGGGGAAGAUGCACAAAGCAAAAAUAAAGACAAUGCGAAGGGCCCUAACCAACGGAAACCGGACAAAACAAUCCCAACACAGCACAACAAAGUGAAAGAAAACGUCAUUCGCUGAUGAAGAAUGAUAAUUUCCUGCCCUCCCUCACAGACAUCUCCCUCACUUAAAGCAGAGGCAGAACUCUUUCGAAUCCUAGGGUCUGAGGGUAUGUGGGCGGGGGAAGGAAAUAAAAGAGGAUCCUCUCUCUGAGUUGAGUUUUAGGGGGACCCUGGAGGAGGACUUGUUCAGAGGCAGGGAGAGGCGGGCAUGUGGAGAGCACGGACUGUGCUUGGUGAUGGGGCUUUGGGGGGCAGGGAGCAAUUUCAUUUUGGAGCCCAGCGUGAUUUUCACUUGCUGGGUCAUCCAUUAUCCUGUCUCCUGUCACUCUACCCACCCCAUCCCAGACAGAUGGCUUUGUUGCCCGUUUGAAAAAACAAUCAAUAUUUCCAGAAGCAAGAAUGCCAGAGGUCCUUGUCCUUGACCUUGGUUUGUCUGGGCUGGUGGAUCUUGAGGCCCCCAGAAGAGCAAUGGCUCUUUGGGGCUCUAGGGAAGCCCACAGAUCUUUACUGACGGGGUCCGUAUCACCGCAAGCCACCCCCAGCCCCUGGCUGCUCUUCAAGCAGGGGCUCCUGACCCUCUGCCGGGGGGUCUGUCAUGACAGCGCAGUCACCUAGAGCCUCUCUCACGGGCGUGCUUCCUCC